rnacentral:rRNA from 1 species
CAGCAGCCGCGGGAAAACGGAAGGUCCGGGCGUUAUCCGGAUUUAUUGGGUUUAAAGGGAGCGUAGGCCGCCCCUUAAGCGUGUUGUGAAAUGCGGGUGCUCAACAUCCGACUUGCAGCGCGAACUGGGGGGCUUGAGUGCGCCGAAAGUAGGCGGAAUUCGUGGUGUAGCGGUGAAAUGCUUAGAUAUCACGAAGAACUCCGAUUGCGAAGGCAGCUUACUGUAGCGCAACUGACGCUGAUGCUCGAAAGCGUGGGUAUCGAACAGGAUUAGAUACCCGUGUAGUCCCUGUCUCUUACAC